rnacentral:rRNA from 1 species
UACGAAGGGUGCAAGCGUUACUCGGAAUGAUUGGGCGUAAAGGGCGCGUAGGCGGCCUGGUAAGUUUGGUGUGAAAUCCCGGAGCUCAACUCCGGAAGUGCAUUGAAUACUGCUAGGCUAGAGUAUAGGAGAGGAGGGCGGAAUUCCUGGUGUAGAGGUGAAAUUCGUAGAUAUCAGGAGGAACAACAGUGGCGAAGGCGGCCCUCUGGACUGUAACUGACGCUGAGGCGCGAAAGCGUGGGGAGCAAACAGG